rnacentral:misc_RNA from 1 species
GAUGAAGAACGUAGCAAAAUGCGAUAAGUAAUGUGAAUUGCAGAAUUCAGUGAAUCAUCGAAUCUUUGAACGCACAUUGCGCCCGCCAGUAUUCUGGCGGGCAUGCCUGUUCGAGCGUCAUUAUCACCCCUCAAGCCCUCGGCUUGGUGUUGGACGGUUUGGUGGAGGCCCCCUCGGGGGCUCCUGCCCCUCCCAAAGACAAUGACGGCGGCCUCGUUGGACCCCCGGUACACUGAGUUCUUCACGGGACACGUAUCGGACACAUGGGUUUACGGGACACGGUCUGCCUCCCCUCAGGGAGAAUCUUUCUAAGGUUGACCUCGGAUCAGGUAGGGAUACCCGCUGAACUUAAGCAUAUCAAUAAGCGGAGGA